UGGGAGCUUGCUUCCAAUGAGAGUGGCGCACGGGUGCGUAACACGUAUGUAACCUACCUUAAUCUGGGGGAUAGCCUCUCGAAAGAGAGAUUAACACCGCAUAACAUCACGAUAUAGCAUUUUAUUGUGAUCAAAUAUUUAUAGGAUUAAGAUGGGCAUGCGGAACAUUAGCUAGUUGGUAAGGUAAUGGCUUACCAAGGCUACGAUGUUUAGGGGAUCUGAGAGGAUGACCCCCCACACUGGUACUGAGACACGGACCAGACUCCUACGGGAGGCAGCAGUAAGGAAUAUUGGUCAAUGGGCGCAAGCCUGAACCAGCCAUGCCGCGUGCAGGAAGACGGCCCUACGGGUUGUAAACUGCUUUUGUACCGGAAUAAACUUUGAUACGUGUAUCAAGCUGAAUGUACGGUAAGAAUAAGGAUCGGCUAACUCCGUGCCAGCAGCCGCGGUAAUACGGAGGAUCCAAGCGUUAUCCGGAUUUAUUGGGUUUAAAGGGUGCGUAGGCGGUUCUUUAAGUCAGGGGUGAAAGACGGUAGCUUAACUAUCGCAGUGCCUUUGAUACUGAAGAACUUGAAUACACUUGAGGUAGGCGGAAUGUGACAAGUAGCGGUGAAAUGCAUAGAUAUGUCACAGAACACCAAUUGCGAAGGCAGCUUACUAAAGUGUCAUUGACGCUGAGGCACGAAAGCGUGGGGAUCAAA
rnacentral:rRNA from 1 species